rnacentral:lncRNA from 1 species
UAAGUGAUAAAUUGAGUAUGUAUAUGAUUGAGAUAUAUAUGUGCAUUGAGAUGUUGUGUGCAUUGAGUUAUGAACUAUGAAUUGUGCAAUCACACGACCAUAAGACCCUUUAAGGGCGAUGAGUUAAUGCUAAGACCCUUUAAGGGCGACGAGUUAAUGCUAAGUCCCUUUAAGGACGACGAGUUAAUGCUAAGUCCCUUUUAGGGCGAUGGGUUAAUGCUAAGACCUUUUAAGGGCAACGAGUUAAUGCUAAGACCCUUUAAGCCUAUGUUGACCCCAUAUGGUUGGAACAUUCUCGCAAAACACUGUGACCCUGACUGGUCUCCCUAUAAUCUUACCUAGUGAGAGUGACCUGACUUGCUAGCGUGUGGUUUGUCUUGUCAUGUACUCCUAGACGCCCGACG